GUUGUAUAGUCAAGUAAUUAAGUGCAUGUGGUGGAUGCCUUGGCAGUCAGAGGCGAUGAAAGACGUGAUAGCCUGCGAAAAGCUCCGGGGAGGCGGCAAAUAUCCUUUGAUCCGGAGAUGUCUGAAUGGGGGAACCCACCUACUUUAAGGUAGGUAUUGCAACAUGAAUACAUAGUGUUGCAAGGCGAACGAGGGGAAGUGAAACAUCUCAGUACCCUUAGGAAAAGAAAUCAAUUGAGAUUCCCUCAGUAGCGGCGAGCGAACGGGGAUCAGCCCAUUAAGUUAUGUGUGUUUUAGUGGAACGCUCUGGGAAGUGCGAACGUAGAGGGUGAUAUUCCCGUACACGAAAGGGCACACAUAAUGAUGACGAGUAGGGCGAGGCACGUGAAACCUUGUCUGAAUAUGGGGGGACCAUCCUCCAAGGCUAAAUACUCCUGACUGACCGAUAGUGAACCAGUACCGUGAGGGAAAGGCGAAAAGAACCCCUGUGAGGGGAGUGAAAUAGAUCCUGAAACCGCAUGCAUACAAGCAGUGGGAGCACCUUCGUGGUGUGACUGCGUACCUUUUGUAUAAUGGGUCAGCGACUUAUAUUCAGUAGCAAGGUUAACCGUAUAGGGGAGCCGUAGAGAAAUCGAGUCUUAAUAGGGCGUUUAGUUGCUGGGUAUAGACCCGAAACCAGGCGAUCUAUCCAUGAGCAGGUUGAAGGUUGGGUAACACUAACUGGAGGACCGAACCCACUGUCGUUGAAAAGCCAGGGGAUGACUUGUGGAUAGGGGUGAAAGGCUAAUCAAGCCUGGUGAUAGCUGGUUCUCCCCGAAAGCUAUUUAGGUAGCGCCUCGGACGAAUACCAUAGGGGGUAGAGCACUGUUUCGGCUAGGGGGUCAUCCCGACUUACCAAACCGAUGCAAACUCCGAAUACCUAUGAGUACUAUCCGGGAGACAGACUGCGGGUGCUAACGUCCGUAGUCAAGAGGAAAACAAUCCAGACCGCCAGCUAAGGCCCCAAAAUCAUAGUUAAGUGGGAAACGAUGUGGGAAGGCAUAGACAGCUAGGAGGUUGGCUUAGAAGCAGCCACCCUUUAAAGAAAGCGUAAUAGCUCACUAGUCGAGUCGGCCUGCGCGGAAGAUGUAACGGGGCUAAAACUAUGUGCCGAAGCUGCGGAUNNNNNNNNNNNNNNNNNNNNNUUGACAUUAGUCAAGUGGUAGGGGAGCGUUCUGUAAGCCGAUGAAGGUGUAUUGAGAAGUAUGCUGGAGGUAUCAGAAGUGCGAAUGCUGACGUGAGUAACGACAAAACGGGUGAAAAACCCGUUCGCCGAAAGACCAAGGGUUCCAGUCCAACGUUAA
rnacentral:rRNA from 1 species